rnacentral:rRNA from 1 species
CGCACGGGUGAGUAACACGUAUCCAACCUGCCGUCUACUCUUGGACAGCCUUCUGAAAGGAAGAUUAAUACAAGAUGGCAUCAUGAGUCCGCAUGUUUACAUGAUUAAAGGUAUUCCGGUAGACGAUGGGGAUGCGUUCCAUUAGAUAGUAGGCGGGGUAACGGCCCACCUAGUCUUCGAUGGAUAGGGGUUCUGAGAGGAAGGUCCCCCACAUUGGAACUGAGACACGGUCCAA